rnacentral:lncRNA from 1 species
GAGAGGCAGGCGGGGAGCAAGAAAGGCAGGUACAGCUGGGCACAGGGAUCGUGCAGCUGGUGGCUGGGGCACAGGCCCCAGCGCUGGCUCCGGGACUAACACCUUUCCGGAGCCAACGCUAAUCUCAACUCAGUCGAGCAAGAGAGCAGACGCAGCUGCCGGCUGCUGGAUCCCAGGCUGGGGCCCGCUUGGUCCCACACCCCUCCAGGGGCUGCGGUGCAGCAGGGCCUGGGGCAGGUGCUCUGCAGAUGGAAGCAGACGCCUUGAGCCCUGUGGAGCUGGGCCUCCUGCUGCUGCCCUUCGUGGUCAUGCUCCUGGCUGCCCUAUGCGUGCGCUGCCGUGAGUUGCCAGCCUCCUAUGACAGUGCUUCCACAGAGAGUUUGUACCCAAGGAGCAUCCUCAUCAAACCACCUCAAAUAACCGUCCCCCGAACACCUGCUACUUCCUACCCUCUUGUCACUUCCUUCCCACCCCUGAGGCAGCCAGACCUGCUCCCCAUUCCGAGAUCCCCACAGCCCCUCGGGGGCUCCCAUCGGAUGCCAUCUUCCCGGCAGAAUUCAGAUGAUGGUAAGGGUGUAGAGCACAGGAGGGCGUUGGGGAGGAAGUGCAACCUGAGCUGACUCGGUCUUCCUUUCCCUCUCUCUUUGAAGCCAACAGUGUGGCGAGCUACGAGAACCAGGGUGGGUCUGGGGUCUAGGGUAGUGGGUGGGGUGGGGAGGCUGGAGCUGUCCAGGUCAUGUUGACUCCCCUUCCUCAUAGAGCCAGCCCGUAAGAACGUGGAUGAA